GUCAUUUCGUCUUUUCUAUUUAGUUAUAGAACAUAUUUGUAAAUUAUGUUUGUGUAACAUGUGUAGUAGCAGAUCAUGUUUUAUUUUUAUCAUGUAAACAUCAAUUUUUUUCUCAUUUAUGGAAAAUUUUGCAUUUCCCUCACUGAUGGGCAUGCCCUGUUUUCACAAGUAUGUGCCUGUACCUGUGUGGCUUGAUUCUAGAUUUCCUGUACCCCUCGAUUGGUCUGUUUAUUUCAUUUAGUUAUAUUUAGGACCCUGUAUUUAUAUUGUAACUGUAGUAUUAACUUGUCAGUUUUUAACCAAAAAAUGUCUAGUAGGAUAUUGAUUAGAAUUAUACUGACUUUUUAAAAUCAAGUUUUUAAUUAAUUAGUUUAUUUUAAUUAGGCACAUAUGACAUCAUAAUGCAUUUUGAUCCAUUGUACAUAAUUGCAGCACAACUGUACAUUUUUCUGGUUGUACACAAUUCAACAUUACAUAAUAUGUGCACUCAUACAUGUACCUAGGGUAAUCAUGUCCAUCUCAUUCCACCUCUUGCCUGCCCCCUAAAAUCAAUUUUUGGAGGAUUUAGUAUUUACUAUGCUGAGUUUUCCAUCUAUUUACAAGGUACAUUUGUCCCUCAGUCUCUGUGUAGCAUUGGUUCCAUAACAACCCUAAACUACCAAAAUCAGAAGAUGUUCACCUCUGACAUACUUGGCAUAGUAGUUGUAUAUAACAUACUUACAGUCUCCCAUAUACUUUUAACUAUCUCUAGAUUACUCAUAAUACCUACUACAAUGCAAAUGCUAGGUAAAUUGUUGCUAUACUUUACUAUUUAGGAAAUAACAGAAAAAGUGGUAUAUACCUGUUCAGUAUAGACAAAAUUAAAAUUUAUUUUUAAUCUUCUGUUGAUUAAAUCUGUAGACAGAAAAUCUAUAGACACAGGAGGAUAACUGUAUGUUUAUGCAUUUACCUUCCCCCCAAAAAGGACAUUCUGCUAAAUGGUCACUAUAGAACUAUUUAAUUUAGAACAUGUAGUAUUGAGAUAAUAUCAUAUUCCAUAUAGGCCAUAUUUGUCAGUUUUCUUUUUUUUUUUUAUUGUGGGUUGUUCAAAACAUUACAAAUUUCUUGACAUAUCAUAUUCCACACUUUGAUUCAAGUGGGUUAUGAACU
rnacentral:lncRNA from 1 species